CAGUAGCCACGGGAACACGAAGGGGGCUAGCGUUGUUCGGAUUUACUGGGCGUAAAGCGCACGUAGGCGGAUCGAUCAGUCAGGGGUGAAAUCCCAGAGCUCAACUCUGGAACUGCCUUUGAUACUGUCGAUCUGGAGUAUGGAAGAGGUGAGUGGAAUUCCGAGUGUAGAGGUGAAAUUCAUAGAUAUUCGGAGGAACACCAGUGGCGAAGGCGGUUCACUGGUCCAUUACUGACGCUGAGGUGCGAAAGCGUGGGGAGCAAACAGGAUUAGAUACCCGAGUAGUCCCUGUCUCUUAUAC
rnacentral:rRNA from 1 species